rnacentral:rRNA from 1 species
AGUGGGGAAUAUUGGACAAUGGGCGCAAGCCUGAUCCAGCCAUGCCGCGUGUGUGAAGAAGGCCUUCGGGUUGUAAAGCACUUUUGUUGGGAAAGAAAUCCUGUCGGUUAAUACCCGGCGGGGCUGACGGUACCCAAAGAAUAAGCACCGGCUAACUUCGUGCCAGCAGCCGCGGUAAUACGAAGGGUGCAAGCGUUACUCGGAAUUACUGGGCGUAAAGCGUGCGUAGGUGGUCUGUUAAGUCAGAUGUGAAAGCCCCGGGCUCAACCUGGGAAUUGCAUUUGAUACUGGCGGGCUAGAGUGCGGUAGAGGAGAGUGGAAUUCCCGGUGUAGCAGUGAAAUGCGUAGAGAUCGGGAGGAACAUCAGUUGCGAAGGCGGCUCUCUGGACCAGCACUGACACUGAGGCACGAAAGCGUGGGGAGCAAA